rnacentral:rRNA from 1 species
AUACGUAGGUGGCAAGCGUUGUCCGGAAUUAUUGGGCGUAAAGCGCAUGUAGGCGGUUUGGUAAGUCGGUCGUGAAAAUGCGGUGCUUAACGCCGUAUGGCGAUUGAAACUGCUGAACUUGAGUGCAGGAGAGGAAAGGGGAACUCCCAGUGUAGCGGUGAAAUGCGUUGAUAUUGGGAAGAACACCGGUGGCGAAGGCGCGUUUCUGGAAUGUGUCGGAAGUUCGGAGGCGAAAGCCAGGGUAGCGAACGGGAUUAGAUACCCCGGUAGUCCUGGCCGUAAACGAUGGGUACUAGGUGUGGGAGGUAUCGACUCCUUCCGUGCCGGAGUUAACGCAAUAAGUACCCCGCCUGGGGAGUACGGCCGCAAGGCUAAAACUCAAAGGAAUUGACGGGG